GUGCUGGACCAGGGAUGCGUCUAAAAGCUGCAGGACACCAGGCAUCGAGGACAGGAAUCGAGGACCACUGCAAUAGUUAUUUUGCAUUUCUAUUAAUAAGCGACGUGCUGAUGUCAAGUCCUUCCACGCUGAGAGAAACCAUGAAAUACGCUGGAUCAGAUCUUUCCGGAAGUCCUCGAGGAGCGUAACGACUUAUUUCACACAUCACCUCCAGCUCAUUGCAGUCUGCAUGGAGCAACAUGACUGCGUUGGGGAUCUCCGCCGAUGACACUGCAGAGACGGAACGAGAAAGGAUGAGGUCCGGAUCAGGGACUGAGGGUGGAACAAAUGGAGUGAGCGUGUCGAGGGAUUCAUCGGGACCCACUGGGAUGUCUCGAAGUACGAGAGUGGCAGGAGUUCUGGUGAAGAGAGCGCCACCUCCCAUUCCACCCAGUCCGGCUCCCUCCUCCACCAGAGAGCAGGAAAGAACUACGUCAGCAACCCCAUCAGCUAGAAGACAAUGUGAAAUAAGAUUUUUGUUUU